ACGGAAGGCAGCAGUGGGGAAUAUUGCACAAUGGGGGAAACCCUGAUGCAGCGACGCCGCGUGAGUGAAGAAGUAUUUCGGUAUGUAAAGCUCUAUCAGCAGGAAAGAAAAUGACGGUACCUGACUAAGAAGCCCCGGCUAACUACGUGCCAGCAGCCGCGGUAAUACGUAGGGGGCAAGCGUUAUCCGGAUUUACUGGGUGUAAAGGGAGCGUAGACGGCUUUGCAAGUCUGAAGUGAAAGCCCGGGGCUCAACCCCGGAACUGCUUUGGAAACUGUAGAGCUAGAGUGCAGGAGAGGUAAGUGGAAUUCCUAGUGUAGCGGUGAGAUGCGUAGAUAUUAGGAGGAACACCAGUGGCGAAGGCGGCUUACUGGACUGUAACUGACGUUGAGGCUCGAAGGCGUGGGGAGCAAACAGGAUUAGAUACCCUGGUA
rnacentral:rRNA from 1 species